GCACCCAUAGCUCAAUUGGAUAGAGCAUCUGACUACGGAUCAGAAGGUUUGAGGUUCGAGUCCUCAUGGGUGCACCA
rnacentral:tRNA from 2 species